CAAAUCCUAAAUACACCACUGCAUAGAUGCAUAGCAAAAGCGUUUUUCCCUCAAAUAGGCUAUUUCCCCGGGUACAGCAGUCUUUAAUGUGGUGUAAAGCUUUAACGAUCUUCCUUCAUUGACCACCAGUAAGAUGGAGCCGCUGUAGUCCUUUUGGGGUUCGGAAAUUGCUCAACGCAUUUCGUCUAGAUAUGCAGACUUCGUCAGGAGCUUGUUCUUUCUUCUGGGACCGGCAAUUUAAAUAUGCUGGGCCGCGUCCCAUCAUCAUGUGUGUGCAUGUGCGGC